rnacentral:misc_RNA from 1 species
UCUCCGUUGGUGAACCAGCGGAGGGAUCAUUAUAGAGUUUUCUAAACUCCCAACCCAUGUGAACUUACCAUUGUUGCCUCGGCAGAAGCUGCUCGGUGCACCCUACCUUGGAACGGCCUACCCUGUAGCGCCUUACCCUGGAACGGCUUACCCUGUAACGGCUGCCGGUGGACUACCAAACUCUUGUUGUUACAGUGUCAUUCUGAAUUUAAAAACUUAAUCAGUUAAAACUUUCAACAACGGAUCUCUUGGUUCUGGCAUCGAUGAAGAACGCAGC